CAGCCGCCGCGGUAAUACGAAGGGGGCUAGCGUUGUUCGGAAUUACUGGGCGUAAAGCGCACGUAGGCGGAUUGAUCAGUCAGGGGUGAAAUCCCAGGGCUCAACCCUGGAACUGCCUUUGAUACUGUCGAUCUGGAGUAUGGAAGAGGUGAGUGGAAUUCCGAGUGUAGAGGUGAAAUUCGUAGAUAUUCGGAGGAACACCAGUGGCGAAGGCGGCUCACUGGUCCAUUACUGACGCUGAGGUGCGAAAGCGUGGGGAGCAACCAGGAUUAGAUACCCCAGUAGUCCCUGUCUCUUAUAC
rnacentral:rRNA from 1 species